GACGAACGCUGGCGGCGUGCCUAAUACAUGCAAGUAGAACGCUGAAGAGAGGAGCUUGCUCUUCUUGGAUGAGUUGCGAACGGGUGAGUAACGCGUAGGUAACCUGCCUUGUAGCGGGGGAUAACUAUUGGAAACGAUAGCUAAUACCGCAUAACAAUGGAUGACACAUGUCAUUUAUUUGAAAGGGGCAAUUGCUCCACUACAAGAUGGACCUGCGUUGUAUUAGCUAGUAGGUGAGGUAAUGGCUCACCUAGGCGACGAUACAUAGCCGACCUGAGAGGGUGAUCGGCCACACUGGGACUGAGACACGGCCCAGACUCCUACGGGAGGCAGCAGUAGGGAAUCUUCGGCAAUGGGGGCAACCCUGACCGAGCAACGCCGCGUGAGUGAAGAAGGUUUUCGGAUCGUAAAGCUCUGUUGUAAGUCAAGAACGGGUGUGAGAGUGGAAAGUUCACACUGUGACGGUAGCUUACCAGAAAGGGACGGCUAACUACGUGCCAGCAGCCGCGGUAAUACGUAGGUCCCGAGCGUUGUCCGGAUUUAUUGGGCGUAAAGCGAGCGCAGGCGGUUUGAUAAGUCUGAAGUUUAAGGCUGUGGCUCAACCAUAGUUCGCUUUGGAAACUGUCAAACUUGAGUGCAGAAGGGGAGAGUGGAAUUCCAUGUGUAGCGGUGAAAUGCGUAGAUAUAUGGAGGAACACCGGUGGCGAAAGCGGCUCUCUGGUCUGUAACUGACGCUGAGGCUCGAAAGCGUGGGGAGCGAACAGGAUUAGAUACCCUGGUAGUCCACGCCGUAAACGAUGAGUGCUAGGUGUUGGAUCCUUUCCGGGAUUCAGUGCCGCAGCUAACGCAUUAAGCACUCCGCCUGGGGAGUACGACCGCAAGGUUGAAACUCAAAGGAAUUGGCGGGGGCCCGCACAAGCGGUGGAGCAUGUGGUUUAAUUCGAAGCAACGCGAAGAACCUUACCAGGUCUUGACAUCCCGAUGCUAUUUCUAGAGAUAGAAAGUUACUUCGGUACAUCGGUGACAGGUGGUGCAUGGUUGUCGUCAGCUCGUGUCGUGAGAUGUUGGGUUAAGUCCCGCAACGAGCGCAACCCCUAUUGUUAGUUGCCAUCAUUCAGUUGGGCACUCUAGCGAGACUGCCGGUAAUAAACCGGAGGAAGGUGGGGAUGACGUCAAAUCAUCAUGCCCCUUAUGACCUGGGCUACACACGUGCUACAAUGGUUGGUACAACGAGUUGCGAGUCGGUGACGGCGAGCUAAUCUCUUAAAGCCAAUCUCAGUUCGGAUUGUAGGCUGCAACUCGCCUACAUGAAGUCGGAAUCGCUAGUAAUCGCGGAUCAGCACGCCGCGGUGAAUACGUUCCCGGGCCU
rnacentral:rRNA from 1 species